rfam:Schistosoma curassoni strain Dakar, Senegal genome assembly, scaffold: SCTD_scaffold0000664
GCACUACUAAUGAGUCUCACAAUAGGACGAAACAGCCGUCCAGUAC